rnacentral:rRNA from 1 species
GACGUAGGGCGCGAGCGUUGUCCGGAUUUAUUGGGCGUAAAGAGCUCGUAGGCGGCUUGUCGCGUCGACUGUGAAAAUCCGGGGCUCAACCCCGGACUUGCAGUGGGUACGGGCAGACUAGAGUGUGGUAGGGGAGACUGGAAUUCCUGGUGUAGCGGUGAAAUGCGCAGAUAUCAGGAGGAACACCGAUGGCGAAGGCAGGUCUCUGGGCCACUACUGACGCUGAGAAGCGAAAGCAUGGGGAGCGAACAGG